rnacentral:lncRNA from 1 species
GUUCUUUUCAUAUCUUAAUAAGUACGAUUAAAAUAUUUCUCAGUGUACUAUUAGAGAUGCUUAUGUUAAAUAGUAUAUUAGUUGAAAGUCAGUUAGGAUUAGUAGUUAGUGGUGGUUACUUAGAGCUCUUUAUAAGCUCUUGUAAUAUACAGAUUAUUCAAUCAAUCAAGUUUCAUUUUUCUCAAAUAAGUUUUGCUUUCACAGAUCUUUGAGAUUCCAAGAUGGUAUCAGAUGAUUCUCUUCUGUGAAGGUGAAAACAACGAAAUAUCUUUCCAACGAUUUCUG